rnacentral:rRNA from 1 species
UACAGAGGUCUCAAGCGUUGUUCGGAUUCAUUGGGCGUAAAGGGUGCGUAGGCGGCGGGGCAAGUCUGAUGUGAAAUCCCGGGGCUCAACCCCGGAACUGCAUUGGAUACUGCCUUGCUCGAGUACUGGAGAGGGAACUGGAAUUUACGGUGUAGCGGUGAAAUGCGUAGAUAUCGUAAGGAAGACCAGUGGCGAAGGCGGGUCCCUGGACAGUUCCUGACGCUGAGGCACGAAGGUCAGGGAGCAAACGGGG